rnacentral:rRNA from 1 species
UACGAAGGGGGCUAGCGUUGCUCGGAAUCACUGGGCGUAAAGGGUGCGUAGGCGGGUCUUUUAAGUCAGGGGUGAAAUCCUGGAGCUCAACUCCAGAACUGCCUUUGAUACUGAAGAUCUUGAGUUCGGGAGAGGUGAGUGGAACUGCGAGUGUAGAGGUGAAAUUCGUAGAUAUUCGGAAGAACACCAGUGGCGAAGGCGGCUCACUGGACCGGUAUUGACGCUGAGGUGCGAAAGCGUGGGGAGCGAACAGG